CGCUCCAUCUCCUAUCCAGGAGGUGGGGAGGAAAGUCCGGGCUCCAUAGGGCAGGACGCUGGGUAACGCCCAGUCGGGGUGACCCGAAGGAAAGUGCCACAGAAAUGACACCGCCGGCCGCGAGGCCGGUAAGGGUGAAAUGGUGGGGUAAGAGCCCACCGGCNNNNNNNNNNGGAGCAAGACCAAAUAGGAGGGCGCUCUUAAGGUGGCCCGCCAAGCCCUCGGGUUGCGGUCGCUGGAGGCGCCGGGUAACCGGCGUCCGAGAUAGAUGGCCACCGCCCCCUCCAAGGGGCACAGAACCCGGCUUACAGACCGCCCUCGACC
rnacentral:RNase_P_RNA from 1 species